ensembl:miRNA
GCCAUCCUGACAAAGCCCUUUUCUGCUCUAGCCACAAUGGCUCUGUCAGGCAGGUAG